rnacentral:lncRNA from 1 species
GCUGGAUCCGAUCUGAGGAAGAACAGGAAAAAGCGAUCAGGUAUAACUUAUUCCUUUGUCGUUUAUGAUUUUAGAUCUAUGUAAUUAAUUUAUUUAUGCAUGUUAGACGAUCCUAGGAUUAAUUUAGAUUGGGAAUCUGCAUAUUUAGAUCAGAUUAAAAUUUUAAGUCUGCUUUCACUAUGGUUAGUGUAAUCAUAUCGAUCUAUGCAUGCGAAUUAACCUGCUUUCUAACAGUGGUAUCAGAGCCGGGUUGUUCUAGCAUGUUUUAAAUAAAUUUUAGAUCUGAAAUUGUAUUUAUAUGAUCUGAUUUAUAGUUCAUAUAUUGAUAUGUGAAAGAAAAUCUGAUUUAAAUUUAAUAGAUUAUAUAUUAGAUAUGUUAGAUUAAAUUCCUGUUAGCCUGGUACUUGGAAUGGGUGCAUCACCAUGGCCGUCCAGACAUAAGAGUAAGCAGGGGUUAAAGUUCCUCACUUGCCCAAUUGAUGGGUUCUCUUAUGACGCAUAGGGGUGCUGUUUGUGAUAAUCUCCCAUGAAGAAGAACCGCGAAUGGAAGAUCCUAGAUGUAUGUGAUACAAGUUUUAGAUUCAGAUUUUGUUUGCAUGCAUAUUAGAUGUGUUUUUAAUUAAUUUUAGAUCAUAAAAUUAUAUAUGUGAUAUGUAGUUUUUAUACAUGAUCUGAAAUUUAAUUUAUGCAAAAUCCUAGAUCUAAAAUCCUAGGAUCUAAUUUGCAUAAAUCCUAAAAUUGUGGCUAGCUUGCCUGUCGAGUCUACUCGGAUUCAGUUUGAGUCAACUCGAGUCCUUGGCGAGUCGACUUAUCUUUGUUGGAGUUGACUCGAGAUCCUAGUGAGUUGGCUCAUUUGCGUAUGAGUCGACUCAAUCCUGUAGGUGUGGGCUUACAGUUUUUGUUUGUCACAGGCGAGUCGACCCGAGUUCUAAGAUGAGUUGACUCGAGUUUGUUGACAACAAAAUUGCAUGUGAUGCAAUCCAAAUUAGUUUAGAUUAGAAAUUGAUUUGACAUCUAAACUAAAUUCAUAUUCAUAAUGCACUUAAUUAAGAAUUAAGACUUGAAGUUAAAAGAUCUAAAAUUAUGAAUGUAAGAUCCAAAUUUCAAUUGCAUAAAACAUGGGGUUAAGGAUGUGGGUAGCUCAAUUAGGUCUAGCUUGAGCAAUUGAUCAAACCGAUUCAAAUGUUGAUUAGGAUUAGAUCAAAUAUGCUCAUGAUCAACCCAAUUAGUAGUAAUUUGGUCGAAUCAAUUAACAACGACAUGUUAUCAAUCAAUUUAAGAUCUAAUUUGGCUCAAUGGUUCCAGCCUGGGUCAAUAGACUAAUUUGAUCGAUUCUAAUCCAUCAAUUUGAUGUCUAAGGCAAGUACAUAGAUGGUGGUUAUUUAAUUGAUUCUGUUGUCUGAUCUGACCAAUUCAUUGGUGUCUAAAGAAAGCAAGGGGGGACCCCUACUCAUCUUAAUUUAUCUGACUAUUUUGGAAGAUUAUAUUUUGUAUUAGGUUACUUAUUGGCUCGAGCUAGUCCAUGCUACUAGGUUAGUCAUAACCGUUAUGACUAAUUAAGAAAGAGACCUGAAUCUAAAUCUCUUCAAUCAAAUAUUAAGUCUAGUUGUUUUUCAUCAUUGUAGAGAUACGGGCGCCUUCCUGAUGUUGAUCGUUCUCGGUUGGUCACAGUGAUUUGAUUGCAUCGGGAAGGCACAACCACUCUAUGGCAUUGGAUGCUCCGGGGUAGAGAUGGGGUUGGGCCCAAUAACUGUUAGGUGAGGGAUCUAAUGACAGCUUUACAUCUACUGGUGUACGGUGGGUCUGACUUAAUUAAGAAAUGUAUCAAUAACUGUUAGAUGAGGCCACAGAAUUUAGAAACCAAACCUGCUGCAUCUUGCUUAGUGAAGCAAUGGACAAGGUGUUGUCCACUCAUUGGUCUGUACGUCACCAAUAACUUUUAGAUGAGGUGCGUAUGGAUCAGUGGGAGUGCAGUAUCCACUAGAAACUAAUCGUAUAUAGGUUUUUAUUUCUCCAUUCGAGGAGUGCGGGAGAUUCGUAGAAAUAGUGAGAGCUCUUUGUUUGUUUAUUAAAGUCCCUAUAACAAAUAUUUACAAGUACAAACAUCUAAUUGAAAAUUAUUUCUCUCUGUAGUUAAUUAACUAUGUUGAGUUCAAACCCUCUAGUCUGAAUCUUUGACAUCAAUAGGUUGACCGGAUUAAACUACAAAGACUGGCUUCGGAACUUGAGAAUUGUUCUUAGCUCUGAGAAAUUGACCCAUGUCCUAGACCAGGAGAUGCUUGUGUUGUCGGCUCGCCCAUCUCCUGUUCAAUGAGCUGCACUUGACAAGUGGAUGGACGAAGACAACAGGAUUAGGUGUUAUAUUUUUGCAUCUAUGUCCAAUGAUCUUCAACGCCAACAUGAAGACAUGAGGACUGUCAGACAGAUUUUGAUUCACCUACAAGAGUUGUAUGGUAAGCAGAGUCGCACGACUCGCUUUGAGAUCUUAUGAAGAUUUUUUAGAGCGAGGAUGCGUGAUGGACAGCCUGUGCACAAUCAUUGUCUGACAAUGAUCAAAGACAUUGAAGUACUUCAGAAGCUCAGAAUGAAUAUGGACAAGGAACUGCAGGUGGAUCUGAUCAUGUAGUCCCUUCUUGAUUGGUACGGGCAGUUCAUAAUAAACUAUCAUAUGAAUAAGAUUGAUGGCACCUUGUCCAAGUUGUUGAAUAUGUUGGUGACAGCUGAGGGCGCCUUGAAAAGUUCAAGGAGAACGGUUCUUACUGUGGAGCAGGCUUCUUCAAGAGAAAAUCUACUAGAAAGAAGAACAAAAAGCCUGUGAAAAAAUUAAAGAUCGAGAGUGAGAAGGAAAAAAAUUUUGAAGGCGGCCAACGAUAAAGAAAAAUAUUUUCACUGCAAUGUCGAAGGCCAUUGGAGAAGAAAUUGUUCUGUAUACCUAGCAACAGUGAAGAAUAAGAAGGACGCUCUUUCUGAAGGUAUGUCUGAAUUACUCAUAAUUGAAAUUAAUCUAACGGUUUCCUCUUCUUCUGGUUGGAUUUUAGAUUCUAGUUCAAGUGCUCAUUUGUGCACUUUUCUGUUGAAUCUAAAGGAAGUUAGGGGACUGAGAGAAGGUGAGAUCAUUCUCAGGGUUAGCAAUGGGGCAAGAGUUGCUGCAGUGGUCGUCGGGAUCUACUCUCUUAAGCUACUAUUAGGAUUUAGUUUGCUUUUGAAAAAUUAUUUUUUUGUACCUGUAGUCAGUAGGAAUUUGAUUUCCGUUUCUGUGCUAGCACAGAAUUAUUACAAUUUUUAUUUUAAUAAGAUUUGUAUUCAAUUUAUUUUGGAAAUAAAAUUAUUGCAGUUGCUUAUUUGAUAGACGGUCUUUAUCAUUUUUUGCAUAUGGAUGCGAGUGUUAACGUUAACGAGCAAAUUGUAAGUACCGUAGGAUCUAAGAGAUUUAGAGAUGGGAUUAGCCAAAAAUAUCUAUGGCAUCUUAGGCUAGAUCAUAUUGGAGAGGAUAGAUUUAACAAAUUGAAGAAAGAUGGCCUUCUUGGGCCAUUGACUUUCGAGUCAUAUCCAGUUUCUGAAUCAUGUCUUUAAGGAAAGAUGGCUAAGCUACCAUUUGUAGGACAAGGGGAAAAGGCCAUUGAUAUAUUAGCCCUGGUGCACACUGACGUGUGUGGUCCAUUUGAUGUAUAGACCAGAGGUGGUUAUAUCUACUUCAUAAUCUUUACUGAUGAUUACUCGCGGUAUGAUUUUGUGUAUUUGAUGCAUCAUAAGUCUGAAGCCUUUGAAAAGUUCAAAGAGUUCAGAUAUGAAGUGAAGAAAUAAACUAAAAAAUUCAUAAAGGUUUUUCGAUCUGAUCGGAGAGGGGAAUAUCUUAGUGGAGAAUUUCGGAUCUAUCUUAAGGACAACGGCAUAGUCUCACAGUGGACAUCUUUAGGGACAUCUCAGCUCAAUGGGGUAUCCGAAAGGAGGAAUCGGAUCCUAUUAGAUAUGGUUCGGUCCAUGAUGAGUUUCAUAGAUCUUCCAAUUUUUCUUUGGGGACAUGCAUUGCUUUCUGCCAUAUACCUUCUAAAUAGGAUUCUCUCUAAAUCCAUUCCUAUCAUACCAUAUGAGCUAUGGUAUGGUCAGAAGUCGAGUUUUGGUUAUCUUAAGCUUUGGAGAUGUUCGAUCUAUAUCAGGCGAUAGCAGACGGACAAAUUAGAGGCUAGGUCACUUAGGGUUCGUUUUAUAGGAUAUCGUAAGGAAUCCAUGGGAUACUAUUUUUAUCUUUCAGAGGAUCGCAAUGUGAUUGUGAGCCGUCGUGUCGUCUUUUUGAAAAAGAGUUUAUCCAAGAUGGAGACAGUGGGAGAAAGAUUGUGCUCGAAGAAAAGGUCUCUGAAAAGCAUCGAGUCCACGAACCUGAAUCCAUUAGUGAGCCAGUUGAUGUGGUACCUCCACCUCGUAGAUCAAGUAGGAUCUCCUAUCCUUCUGAAAGGGACUUAGGUAUUCUUAUAGAGGAUCUAGAAGAAGCGUUCUUUGUGGGAGAUAAGAACAUUAGAAAUAAUCUCAAGACCUAUGAUGAAGCGAUGUUAGAUAUAGACUUCGAAAAAUGAAAGCGAUGAAGUCAGAAAUCAACUCCAUACAUUCCAACAACAUUUGGAUCUUAGUAAAUCCAUCUAAAGGUAUUGUACCUAUUGGAUGUAAAUGGAUCUAUGAAACGAAAAUUGGAUAGGAUUGUCAGGUAGAGAUUUAUAAGACAAGGCUGGUAGUGAAAAGAUAUAGUCAACGCGAAGGCAUUGAUCAUCAGAAAAUUUUUUUACCAGUGGUCAUGCUGAAAUCCAUCCAAAUUUUGCUUGCUGUUGCAGCUUAUUACGAUUACGAAAUAUGGUAGAUGGACAUGAAAACUACUUUCCUAAAUGGAUAUCUUGAGGAAGAUAUCUAUAUGGAGUAGUCUAUGGGUUUCACAUCCAGUGAUAGUGAUCACAAAAUCUACAAGCUGCAAAAGUCCAUUUAUGGAUUCAAGCAAGCAUCUUGGAGUUGGAACGUCCACUUUAAUGAUGUGAUCAAAUCGUUUAAUUUCAUCAGAAACAAGGAGCCGUGUGUGUACAAAAAGAUCAGUGAAAGUGCUGUCACGUUCCUCAUAUUGUACGUAGAUGACAUCCUCUUGAUUGAAAAUGAUAUUCCCAUACUGACUUCAAUCAAAGUAUGGUUGUCAAAGGAAUUCUCCAUGAAAGAUCUAGAAGAAGCUUCCUACAUUCUUGGUGUAAAGGUCUAUAGGGAUAGAUCUAAGAGAAUGAUGGGACUUUCUCAAAAAAUGUACAUGGAGGAGUGCUGAAGAGGUUCAGUAUGAAAAAUUCGAAGAGAGAUUUUUUACCUCUUAGGCAUGGCAUCUACCUCUCCAAGAAGAUGUGUCCUGAUACAUCUGAGGAGAUUCAACGCAUGAGCAAGAUCCCUUACGCUUUGGUUAUAUAGAGCCUUAUAUAGGUUAUGCUGUGUACUCAAUCUGAUAUAACACUUGCUAUAAGUGUCACGAGCAGAUAUCAGUCGAAUCCAGAUGAGGAGCUCUGGAUUAUAGUUAAGAACAUCCUUAAGUACUUGAGAAGGAUUAAAGAUUUGUUGUUGAUCUUUAGUGAAGGAUCGAAGCUGAAAAUGGAGGAUAUUCCAAUUUAGAUUUUAUGUCUAAUAUCGAUGAUAGAAAGUCUACGAUGGGGUGUAUUUUUCUAUGUAAUGGCGGAUCGAUUAGUUGGAAGAGUUUCAAAUAGUUGGUUAUUACAGAUUUGAUCAUGGAAGCUGAAUAUAUCGCCGCCUCUGAAGCUGUUAAGAAAGCAUACUGGUUCAAGAAGUUUAUUGCGGAGCUGGAUGUGAUGUUAUCGGAUGUCAUUGCACUGCACUGCAAUAAUAAUGGCGCCAUAGCACUCGCUAAGGAGCUCAGAUCCACCAGAAAUCCAAGUAUAUAGAGCGGUGGUUCCACAUCAUACGUGACUAUCACGAGAAGAAGUUCGUCGAGGUGUAGAGAGUCGACUCCGCACAGAACGUGGCGGACCCGCUGAUGAAGCCUCUUAGCCAGCAGAAGAUUGAAGCUCACCUUGAGAAGAUGGGUCUUAGGUAUAUGGUCAAUUGACUUUAGGUCAGGUGGGAGUUUAUUAGAUGUGUGCCGUAGAAGUUAAUUGUUGGCUGACACAUUUAUAAUUCUAGAGCCUAUUUUUGUACUUGUAAAAUUUUUAUUAUUAAUAAAGGAUAUUUUAUUUUCAAUCAUGUUUAUGUGUCCAUGAUUUGUCCUNNNNNNNNNNNNNNNNNNNNUUGAGACAUACAUUAUUAGUGGUUAGUUUUAAAUAUCAAUUGGAUUGAUGAUUUGAAUAAAUUUGUAAGUGUUACAGAUUAAGUAACUACUAAUUGUUAGCAUAGGAACUUAAUUGCAAAUGUUGUAAUUUAAUUGGGGUUGAUUAAAUUAUGUAUCAAGUCAUAAUUAAUUUAAAUCAGAUUUAAUUUAAUUGUGUUUGAUUUAUUUUAAUGCGAAUUGGGUUCAAUUAUCCAAAUCAGAUUCGGAUUUCAAUCCUGAUUAGGUCAAGUUUGACAACCUUUCGAAUUCGAUUCGAUUUGGGCUCAAUUUGAACUCGAUUUGGAUCUAAUUUGAAUCAAAUUGAUGCUGACCUUUUAAGCCCAGAUUUUUUGGGCUUCUCUCCCCACUUUGGCUGAAGAAAGGAUGGGGCGGUGAUUUUCUCUCUGGUUCUUGUGCGCGCGCGUAGGGAGAUAGGGAUAAGGCGCCAUUUGGUUUCUUGAUUAGUUAGGACUUCCUAUCUUGAUUAGGGAUAAGCCUAAUUAAUCCAAUUGAAUUCCUAUCAAGUUUUGGCGUGGGAAAGGAGGAGAUUUUGUGCGACAAAAUAUAAAAGGGGGCAUAAAGGCGUGAGGAUUAGAUUCCUUGUGUUGUGCACUAACAAUAUUGCCGCCCCCUUCCUCCACGCCCACCACCUUUUGUUCCCUUCCUUCCACGCUCCAGUACCUCCUCCUCUAGAUCUGAUCUGAGAGAUUAGGGAGGCCUUAGAGAGAGAGAAAAAAAAUCAAGAAAGGGUUCUUGAUUUUUCUUGGUUGUUGGAUCAAUCCUCAUAAAUCUGCAACAAGGUUGCUUCAAGUGAUAUUAAGUAAAGGGUCCUAAUCCAAGCUGAAGAACGAAGCCUGCAAGGGAGCUAGCACCUCGGGGGUUUCGGAGGUCUGAUCGGGACAUCUCUGUGUGGAUACCAGUAGAGGCGGGGCACGUGCGCGGCUACAACAGGAACCUUAGACAUCCACAGGAUCUGAUUCGAGGAAGAACAGGAAAAAGCGAUCAGAUAUAAUUUAUUCUUUUGUCGUUUAUGAUUUCAGAUUUAUGCAAUUAAUUUAUUUAUACAAGUUAGACGAUCCUAAGGUUGAUUAAGAUUGGGAAUCUGCAUGUUUAGAUCAGAUUAAAAUUUUAAAGUCUGCUUCCGCUGUGGUUAGUGUAAUCGUAUCGAUCUAUGCAUACAAAUCAACCUGCUUUCUAACAGUACUAUUCUCUGAUCCAUACCUCAUUUGGGCCC